CAGCCCUAAACGAUGCGCGUUAGGUGUAUCGGUGACCACGAGUCACCGAGGUGCCGAAGGGAAACCGUGAAACGUGCCGCCUGGGAAGUACGGUCGCAAGGCUGAAACUUAAAGGAAUUGGCGGGGGAGCACCGCAACGGGAGGAGCGUGCGGUUCAAUUGGAUUCAACGCCGGACAACUCACCAGGAGCGACGGUUACAUGAAGGCCAGGCUGAUGACCUUGCCUGAUUUUCCGAGAGGUGGUGCAUGGC
rnacentral:rRNA from 1 species